UACGCAGGGUGCAAACGUUGCUCGGAAUCAUUGGGCGUAAAGCGCACGUAGGCGGUCUCAUAAGUCGGAUGUGAAAUCCCUCGGCUCAACCGAGGAAGUGCAUCCGAAACUGCGAGGCUCGAGUAUGGAAGAGGGUCGCAGAAUUCCCGGUGUAGAGGUGAAAUUCGUAGAUAUCGGGAGGAAUACCAGUGGCGAAGGCGGCGACCUGGGCCAAUACUGACGCUGAGGUGCGAAAGCGUGGGGAGCAAACAGG
rnacentral:rRNA from 1 species